rnacentral:rRNA from 1 species
UAGGGAAUCUUCGGCAAUGGACGAAAGUCUGACCGAGCAACGCCGCGUGAGUGAAGAAGGUUUUCGGAUCGUAAAACUCCGUUGUUAGAGAAGAACAAGAACGUUAGUAACUGAACGUCCCCUGACGGUAUCUAACCAGAAAGCCACGGCUAACUACGUGCCAGCAGCCGCGGUAAUACGUAGGUGGCAAGCGUUGUCCGGAUUUAUUGGGCGUAAAGCGAGCGCAGGCGGUUUCUUAAGUCUGAUGUGAAAGCCCCCGGCUCAACCGGGGAGGGUCAUUGGAAACUGGGAGACUUGAGUGCAGAAGAGGAGAGUGGAAUUCCAUGUGUGGCGGUGAAAUGCGUAGAUAUAUGGAGGAACACCAGUGGCGAAGGCGGCUCUCUGGUCUGUAACUGACGCUGAGGCUCGAAAGCGUGGGGAGCAAACAGG